rnacentral:lncRNA from 1 species
UGGCAUAACUUUAUUCAUAUAGAUUAUUUCCGCAACAUAUCUUUAUAUAUUGCUUUCUUUAGUUCAAAUUGGAAUCUCAGAUAAGCAUCUGGUACCCUCUCCUCUCAGUUCCAUGCCUCUGGUCGACAUGUGUACUUCAGAAUAAUUCCUGACUGUUAGAUGUAUAGCAGAACUUUCACAUAUAAACUUCUUGAUAAAACUGCUGUCUUUCUCCCUUUUCGACA